GGCCUCAUUUUAGAUGAAAAUGGGCACUCUUAUUCAUGGUGUCCAGAAAUUGUUAAUGUGGCUAUAUUGAGACACAGGUUAUGCUUCCAUCACAGUACGUGUAUUACAGUGGUGACAAUGAGACCUGUAACAUUA
rnacentral:snoRNA from 9 species